UCGCACCUGCUCGCUUGCCCGCAGACACCCUGGGCCACAUCGAGGGCUAAUGGGCCUGUUCUGGGAGUUCAUCGUGGCGGAACUUUUGCAAUCCUCUGUCUGCUCCCCUGCGCACUCUCCAUCGCCCCCAGAGCUACACACCCAAUCCCUCGCUCUCUCGGCGAGAUCCAAGACGGCCGCGUCAGCUGGGAGCGGACGCACGCGAGAGGAGUUCGAUGAGCGUGAGCUGGAGGUGGCUGCCAUUCUCGCGGAACUGUAGUCCAUCGUGCGGGCCAGUCAGUAGGAGUCAGGCGCGGCCAGAGAUCCCCUCAUGGGGCCGGCGCCAGCCGAGGAAGGCCCUAGCGGCACCGCCGUCCGAGAAGCCCGCGGCAGAUAGCCCGGACACCCCGGAUAGCCGGACGACGAGGCGGCGGCAGUGCAUGACAAGUCGGCGUAGGAGCAGUGCGGCGAUUUUGACGAGUAGGAGAUGGAGCACGUCACAAGCACCCCGACUGCACCCUGAGGUUAUCCAUCAGGUAGACUAUCAUCACACUGCGGUUCAUGAUGCUGCUCCCAAGCUUCCCGGCAAGAUUGUGCGAGUCACAACUUGCAUGACGCAGAUUCUUUUGCUAUACUUCGGAAGCCGGCAAUAGCAGCGGCAACAUCGACGACGCAUCCACGGGCUGGACAAAACUUGAUUAGCUUACUACUGCAUCAAUAAUUUGUGCCUGCAGGAUUCUUUCACAGAUCAUGUCAACGAGAUUACCAAUUUGAAGAGGCUGCACAUGAUCUGAAAAUAUUGGCAUAUACAGUCCUGAACAUAAGUUUCAAAAUAGCAAAUCCGUUGUACCAGUCAAUUUUCCUAAUGUACUGUAACCUCAUUUGCAUCUGCCUAACCUUUCCUAACUACCUCUCUGUGGUUGGUUGAAGGUGUGGAGUUUAGUCUUGUUCCGCUGUGAGGAAAGCCAUGACCUCCACACAGAUGAUGCAAGUGGAAACAAGCUAGACUCUCAACUUUGGUUUUCAGGCAUCUUCACCAACAAAUAUUACCCUGCAAAUCGAGGACUUCAGAGCCUGGCUGCAGGCCUCGCGAGCACCAAUGACAGCCUCAAGCAGAUUCAGCAGAGCAAGGUGAUGAGUACCCAGCUGGCUGGUCAAUCUGAAUGAUCUUAUUGGCCAGCAAAGCGGAGAUGGAUGACCACGGUCCUGACCUUAGCAGCAGACAGAGACAGUAAAUGGGAUCAAGGGAAGUUGGUAGGGCUCCAGCGGCACAUGCUUACCACUGCUGGCUGUUAGCGGGAAAGGAAAUUGUGUGCAGAGAAGCUGCCUUGAUUUUUAAUACUGAACCUAUUUUUGCAGAACCAAACACUAACGAUAAGAGAGAUGAAUGUGCAGUAUGCUAAAUUUGGGUAUCCAACUACAGAAGAAAUGGAUUUUUAUUUAUAUUAGAAGCUAGGUUAUCACUUUUGAUUUUAAAUUGAUCGCUCAUGGACAGUGGCAUCUUAAUUGGCCAUAAACACAGCCUAAUUCAAUACCUCCCUUCAAAUUGGCAACUAAAGGGAAGGUGAGUUUAAAUGUCUCAGCCCCUGUGACCUGGCUGGCCUUUGUGUUAGAAGAUUCAAAGGGAAUGAAAAGUUGGAGGCAACAAGGCCACCUCUUAUCUGGGUUCUUUACAUAAAAAUAGUGAGGGUCAUAUAAUCUGCCAUCGAUUUUGAUAAUUUCAUCAUGUCCCACCAAUUUAUACAUGUGUAUGAUUCGAAAUCAAUAAGCCAACUCAAGGAGUGGGUCCCGGAAUACAAGCAGGAAGAAAAGAGAAGGAAUUAAAAGGAGUAAACUCGGCUCUUAUGUAAGCAAUAAGGAAAGAAAUUAUUCCACUCAUAAGGAAAGAGAAGGAAUUAAAGGAAGUAAAUUCGGCUCUCAUGUAAGAAAAAUGGAAAGGAAUUAUUCCACUCAUAAGGAAAGAGAAGAAAUUAAAACAAGGAGAAAACUCGGCUCUUAUAUAAGCAGAAAGGAAAGAAAUUAUUUCACUCAUAAGGAAAGGGAAGAGAUUAAAAGGAGUAAAUUCGGCUCUUAUAAAGCAAAAAAUGAAAGAAAUAUGAAGGAAUAAAAUUUGCUCUUAUGUAUGAGCAUUAAAGGAAAAGAAUAAAAAAAACGAUGCUGUUGCUGGAUGUGCACGGGCUGAGAAGGGAGCAAUUAAAAUAAAUAACAUCGGUUGCGUGCGUGCAGUUGCACAUGGUCUAAUUCAAUGGCCCUUCUCUUCUCGCAUACAAAAUAGUUGGCCGGCAAUGACCAUUCAUACUUUUCUGUUGUUUUGAAUCUGUGGGGUACAUAUAAAUUAUGCUUGGUUAUUUUUAUAUUACAUCCCAUAUUAUGUGUACUCAUUUGAUCUAAGGUUAUUUUUAAUAACUUGGUUUUUUUUUUGUCACAAACAAACCGAUGAACCGGCGGUCCAACUUGUGACAGCUGCAACGGUUUGGUUGCCCGUUCGCUUUUAAAAAUAUAGUCUGAUGGCCAUGGUGAAAGAACACGACAUGAAGUGCUUUGUAUCCCUAGAACGAUGAGGAGACACGAGUAUGAAGUGUUUUGUUUGGGCCAAGCACUGCCGCCGCCUGCUCGUGUC